GACGGAGGGUGCAAGCGUUGUUCGGAAUUACUGGGCGUAAAGGGCGCGUAGGCGGUCUGCUAAGUUCGGUGUGAAAGCCCCUGGCUCAACUGGGGAACUGCGCCGGAAACUGGCAGACUAGAGUACCGGAGAGGAGGGUGGAAUUCCUGGUGUAGUGGUGAAAUGCGUAGAUAUCAGGAGGAACACCGGUGGCGAAGGCGGCCCUCUGGACGGAUACUGACGCUGAGGCGCGAAAGCGUGGGGAUCAAACAGG
rnacentral:rRNA from 1 species